UGUAUGAAAAAGUUACAUCUGUCAACACAGAAAAUUGCAUCUAAACAAACCUGUCAUUGGCAAAUCUGAAGAAAUUGCCACUGCGUCUUUAGACCGUUUUCGUCAGACGAGAGACACAGUUCUGACUCUGAUUACUGGUUGCUGUACGUAUCUAUGCACAUCAAGGCUGUUGGGAGAGACUCGUGAAGAUUCAAGACAGCUCUUAGAGGAUUUGCAGUUUAAAAG